rnacentral:lncRNA from 1 species
UUCCUGCUUUGACGGAGUCGAUCUCAUGAAACCGCCUCAGAGUGUUCUUCCUCGGAUGAAAGGACUAAGAGAAAGCCCUGCAACCCCACGAGUCCGCCCGUUUGUUGAAAUCAGUUCAAGAUCAUCCAGAUGCGGACAAAGCAUGUGAGUGUGAAAGGAUCUGAGCCUGUUACUAAGAUUAAUGGAAAUCCAGAUGGGGGACUCCUGAGGAACUAACAGCUUCAUCUGAAAUCCAGUGGAAAACAAUUGUCUUAGAGUCAUGUGAAAUGCUAUAAAAGUUAAAACUUAUAACUAAGUCCUACUGCCCUCCAGCACCACUUGACAGCCCUGUGGGGUCUGAGAGCAG